rnacentral:rRNA from 1 species
AACGAACGCUGGCGGCAUGCCUAACACAUGCAAGUCGAACGAGACCUUCGGGUCUAGUGGCGCACGGGUGCGUAACGCGUGGUAACCUGCCCUUAGGUUCGGAAUAACUCCCCGAAAGGGGUGCUAAUACCGGAUAAUGUCUUCGGACCAAAGAUUUAUCGCCUUUGGAUGGGCCAGCGUUGGAUUAGCUAGUUGGUAGGGUAAAAGCCUACCAAGGCGACGAUCCAUAGCUGGUCUGAGAGGAUGAUCAGCCACACUGGGACUGAGACACGGCCCAGACUCCUACGGGAGGCAGCAGUGGGGAAUAUUGGACAAUGGGCGAAAGCCUGAUCCAGCAAUGCCGCGUGAGUGAUGAAGGCCUUAGGGUUGUAAAGCUCUUUUACCCGGGAUGAUAAUGACAGUACCGGGAGAAUAAGCUCCGGCUAACUCCGUG